AGGGAGGACCAUAGCUCAGUGGCAGAGCCCCUGUUUUGCAUGGAGAAGGUCUCAGUUUCAAUCUCUGGCCUCUCUA